UCUAAAAAUACCCUGAUUUCUGUUUCUAACAUUUAACUGUCCGUUUUAUUUAAAAAAAUUAUAAAAAAAAGUAAAAAGACAAGUCGCGUAUAAAAUAUUAAUCAUAUUUUAUCAUCUAACAACAAUAAAAAUAUGAAUUAUAAAAAAAAUUUUAUAUAAGACGGACAGUCAAAAUUGGACACGGAAAUUCAGGGUUUUACUUUUU
rfam:Oryza sativa (indica cultivar-group) chromosome 4, whole genome shotgun sequence.